UACGGAGGGUGCAAGCGUUAUCCGGAUUCACUGGGGUUAAAGGGUGCGUAGGUGGAGUGGUAAGUCAGUGGUGAAAUCUCCAAGCUUAACUUGGAAACUGCCGUUGAUACUAUCAUUCUUGAAUAUCGUGGAGGUAAGCGGAAUAUGUCAUGUAGCGGUGAAAUGCUUAGAUAUGACAUAGAACACCGAUUGCGAAGGCAGCUUGCUACACGAUCAUUGACACUGAGGCACGAAAGCGUGGGGAUCAAACAGG
rnacentral:rRNA from 1 species